rnacentral:rRNA from 1 species
GAUUAACGCUGGCGGCGUGCAUAACACAUGCAAGUCGAACGAUGAAACUCAGCAGACUUCUUCGGAACGACACUAAGCGGAUUAGUGGAGAACGGGUGAGUAAGCCGUGAGCAAUCUGCCAUAUACAAGGGGCUAGCCCUAGGAAACGAAGAAUACUACUCUAUAAAACCAUAAAAGCAAAUGCUAGAAUGGUCAAGGUGAUAGCCGCGUAAGAUGGGCUUGCGUCUGAUUAGCUAGUUGGUGAGAUAAAAGCUCACCAAGGCAACUAUCAGUAGCCGGCGUGAGACAGUGUACGGUGACAUUGAGACUCGGACACGGCCCAGACGCCUACGAGAAGCAGCAGUUGGGGAUUAAGCACAAGGAGGGUAACGCAGAUGCGGCGACGCCGCGUUAUUGAGAAGGGCGUCGGGAUCUAAAAAUCUUUGGUAUGGGAAGAAAAUGACGGUACUAUACAAAUAAGGACCGGCUAAUUACGUG